UACGUAGGGUGCGAGCGUUAAUCGGAAUUACUGGGCGUAAAGCGUGCGUAGGCGGUUCGUUAAGUGCGUCGUGAAAGCCCCGGGCUCAACCUGGGAAUGGCGAUGGAAACUGGCGGGCUGGAGUAUGGCAGAGGGGGGUGGAAUUCCGCGUGUAGCAGUGAAAUGCGUAGAGAUCAGGAAGAACAUCGGUGGCGAAGGCGCUCUGCUGGACCAUAACUGACACUCAGGGACGAAAGCUAGGGGAGCGAAUGGG
rnacentral:rRNA from 1 species